AGUUUUUUAAAGGCAAUUGAAGAGGAUUGCAAGCACAGUAAAUGGGCCAGGGGUCAGGGGGUCGGUUUUCUGCCAUCUGUCUAAAAGAGUCAGCUAUACGGUGCACCUGGUCCUUCAUCUUCAGCCCUCAGGCUGUUCUGUUCUAACGAGGCCUUGAGUCACUAUCUUGUUUACCCGUACCAGGCUUCCAUACACUCUGUUUUAAUCUUAUCUUGGAGCUGGGUAGAAAGAAAUGUGUGUUGCUAUAUGCUGGCUAACUAGGGGUUACAUAGUGGUUAGAGUCCCACAAGACAAAACCCUCCUCUGGAGAGCAGCACGGUGCACCCUACCCUGUGAUCUACACCGCAGCCCUCACAGCAGCCACUGAGCACUUGAAACGCGGGGUGCAACUGAAGGUCCAAGUGCUGUGUCUAACCCAACAGUCACUCCUGCCUCAUGGCAGCAGAGGCCAGGAGGAAAUGCUGGCCGCGGCCACCGACAGGAGGCAGAGGUCAGGGCCGAGGCAAGCCUGACCCGGAAGUCCUCACUCGGCACUUCCGGAAGGGAGAGCCCACCGGAAGUCUCCCUCGGCUUUCUGUCGCAGGUGCGAGGAGUCAGCUCAGCGGCGAAGGAGAUGCGGCCCUGUGAUUGAGAACCCGCGACUUGAGGACCCCAUGAUGUGGUGUCCCAGAGCCCCUCAGAAGGAGAGAGUUCUUCUCAAACCAUCCGUGGGAGCAUGGCCACUUACAGCAGUUACAUGGAAAGGCCUAGGAAGCUGGAGGCUGGGUCUCCUGUGCCUCUUCAUGAACCCUCCUGAGGCUGGCAACCCUGGGUGGUGAUUCUCAAACAUCGGGAGAGCUAAUUGCCAGGAAUGCUAUGAGACUGACCGGGACUCUGGGAGAGCAGUGAGCAUUCCUGAAGACAUCAAGUGACAUGGGACCCCCAGGGGCUGGGGAACACGGCUGGAUCCACCCCCGGGCCUGAUCAUGGGAUCUGCUGGGAGAGACGGACUCGGCCGGCCGGGCCUGCUGCAUGGUGAGGUGGUUCAGUGUUGGCCUGAUCUCAUGGGUGUGGAAGAGGAAGUAUCCUUUCAAAACUAGUUCUCCAAAUGAAAAGCUAGUAAGUUGUGAGAGAAAUGAUGAGCGUGAAAGGGUCAGUGAGUUACUGGAGAGAGCGUGCACAGCAGGGCUCACACACUGCGGGCCUGGCACGUGCAGACUUCCUUCUGGGAGCGUGUGUUACCCCAGGCAAAGGGGAAGUGACUGAUGGAACGGCCACGUGGCAGUCAGUCCCUGCGCUCUGCCCACCAAAGCCCGGCUGGCAGGCACUUCUUCAGGGAGCACUGUUGGGGUGCAGCUCCCCAGCAGCAGUGUGGAACAGGGCUAAUGCCAGCUUUUUGGUGAAAGGGGCAGUCCUGGAAGCCUGGUUCCGCAAUGGGAAGUUAGAAACUGGGAUUGGGGUUGGGGUAAGGGUGGUGGUGAUGAUGCAAAAGUGAGAACCAUUACUAGGGCCUUGUCCUGUGGAACCCUUCUCCCCACGUUCAUGUCUUCUGAAGACAAAGACCCUACACCAUUUUACAUUAUUCAUCCGCAUGCCCUAGUGAGGAUACUGAAUGUCUCCCAGAGGCCAUGUCUUAGAGGCUUGGUCACCAGCUUGUGGUGCUACUGGAAGUCUGUGGACCUUGAGGUUGGGCCUGGUAGGAAGAAGGGAGGUCACUGGCGCGUGCCUUUAGCAGGGAUCCUGGGACCCUGGCCCCUUCCUCUCUCUGUGUUUGCUUUCUGGCCCCCAUGAGCAGGUCUGCCACAUGAGCUCCUAUGCCACCACAGUCCUAAGCAACGGGACAAGUGACCAUGGGUGGACACCUCUGAAACCGUGAGCCAAAAUAACCCUUUUCUCCACUGAUUAGCUCAGGUAUGUAUCACAGCAAAAGAAAGCCAACACAGAAUACACACACACACACAACACACACACACACACACAC